rnacentral:rRNA from 1 species
GAUGAACGCUAGCGGCAGGCUUAAUACAUGCAAGUCGAGGGGUAGCAAGAUUGUAGCAAUACAAUUGUUGACGACCGGCAAACGGGUGCGGAACACGUACACAACCUUCCUACAAGUGGGGAAUAGCCCAGAGAAAUUUGGAUUAAUACCCCGUAACAUAGCGAUGUGGCAUCACAUUGCUAUUAUAGCUUCGGCGCUUGUUGAUGGGUGUGCGGCUGAUUAGAUAGUUGGCGGGGUAACGGCCAACCAAGGCUACGAUCAGUAGCUGAUGUGAGAGCAGGAUCAGCCACACGGGCACUGAGACACGGGCCCGACUCCUACGGGAGGCAGCAGUAAGGAAUAUUGGACAAUGGACGCAAGUUUGAUCCAGCCAUGCCGCGUGAAGGAUUAAGGUCCUCUGGAUUGUAAACUUCUUUUAUAAGGGACGAAAAAAGGUCUUUCUAGAUCGUCUGACGGUACCUUAUGAAUAAGCACCGGCUAACUCCGUGCCAGCCGCCGCAGUAACAC